rnacentral:rRNA from 1 species
UGGGGAAUUUUGGACAAUGGGCGCAAGCCUGAUCCAGCCAUGCCGCGUGCGGGAAGAAGGCCUUCGGGUUGUAAACCGCUUUUGUCAGGGAAGAAAUCUUCUGAGUUAAUACCUCGGGAGGAUGACGGUACCUGAAGAAUAAGCACCGGCUAACUACGUGCCAGCAGCCGCGGUAAUACGUAGGGUGCAAGCGUUAAUCGGAAUUACUGGGCGUAAAGCGUGCGCAGGCGGUUUUGUAAGACAGAGGUGAAAUCCCCGGGCUCAACCUGGGAACUGCCUUUGUGACUGCAAGGCUUGAGUGCGGCAGAGGGGGAUGGAAUUCCGCGUGUAGCAGUGAAAUGCGUAGAUAUGCGGAGGAACACCGAUGGCGAAGGCAAUUCCCUGGGCCUGCACUGACGCUCAUGCACGAAAGCGUGGGGAGCAAACAGGAUUAGAUACCCUGGUAGUCCACGCCCUAAAACGAUGUCAACUGGUUGUUGGGAAGGUUCCUUCUCAGUAACGUAGCUAACGCGUGAAGUUGACCGCCUGGGGAGUACGGCCGC